UACAGAGGUCUCAAGCGUUUGUUCGGAUUCAUUGGGCGUAAAGGGGUGCGUAGGCGGCGCGGUAAGUCGGGUGUGAAAUCUCGGGGCUUAACUCCGAAACUGCAUUCGAUAACUGCCGUGCUUGAGGACUGGAGAGGAGACUGGAAUUUACGGUGUAGCGGUGAAAUGCGUAGAUAUCGUAAGGAAGACCAGUGGCGAAGGCGGGUCUCUGGACAGUUCCUGACGUGAGGCACGAAGGCCAGGGGAGCAAACGGG
rnacentral:rRNA from 1 species